AUACGGAGGGUGCAAGCGUUAUUCGGAUUUACUGGGCGUAAAGGGCGCGUAGGCGGCUUGUUAAGUCAGUUGUGAAAGCCCGGGGCUUAACCCCGGAAGUGCGACUGAAACUGGCGGGCUUGAGUAUGGUAGAGGGAAGUGGAAUUCCUGGUGUAGCGGUGAAAUGCGUAGAUAUCAGGAGGAACACCGGUGGCGAAGGCGACUUCCUGGACCAAUACUGACGCUGAGGCGCGAAGGUGUGGGGAGCAAACAGGAUUAGAUACCCUGGUAGUCCACACAGUAAACGGUGAUCACUAGGUGUUGCGGGUAUUGACCCCUGCAGUGCCGCAGCUAACGCAUUAAGUGAUCCGCCUGGGGAGUACGGUCGCAAGAUUAAA
rnacentral:rRNA from 1 species